rnacentral:snoRNA from 1 species
AAAAGUAAGAAGCAAUGAGAGCAUUAGCGCGUUCAAAGAAGAACUUAGAGCACUCAGCUUUGAACCGAUUUAUGGUGAGUCUGUUAAAGAUAUAAUAAUGAGAUUCAC